CGUCCCCAAGUCAGGCGUGAAUACCCGCUGAGUUUAAGCAUAUCAUUAAGCGGAGGAAAAGAAACUUACCAGGAUUCCCCUAGUAAUGGUGAGUGAACUAGGAAGAGUCCAGCAUGAAAAUCGAUGACUUCGCCUGCCGAAUUGUAGUUUGUAGAAGCGUCCUCAGCAACGGACCGGGCCCAAGUCCCCUGGAAGGGGGCGCCAGAGAGGGUGAGAACCCCGUCAGGCCCGGACCCUAUCGCACCACGAGGCACUGUUAGUGAGUUGGGUUGUUUGGGAAUGCAGCCCUAAUCGGAUGGUAAAUUCCAUCCAACACUAAAUAAGGGCGAGAGACCGAUACCGAACAAGUACCACAAGGGAAAGAUGAAAAGGACUUUCAAAAGAGAGUUAAAGAGUGCUUGAAAUUGCCGGGAGGGAAGCAGAUGGAGGUCGGCAAUGCACCCCGGUCAGAUGCGGAAUGGCAUCAGCCGGUCCGCCGCUCAGCUCGGGGGGCAUGCCAGCGCGGGCCGUUUCUGUGGCACAAGCACGGCCUUCUAGUCACACUAUACCUCCAUUGCGGUGGUCGAGGAAUGUAGUGUGCGCCUACCAGGGCGGGCCCUCGGGCACCUGCACGCUCAUGGCGCUAGCCAGAGGGCUUUCCAUCCAACCCAUCUUGAAACAUGGACCAAGGAGUCUAACAUGUGUGUGAGUUGGCGGGUUGGGAAACCCGCAAGGCCCAAGGAAGCUGACUGGCGAGUUCCCCUCUUAGGAGGUGCACCGCCGACCGACCCUGAUCUUAUUUGAAGGGUUCGAGUGCGAGAUCACCUGUUGGGACCCAAAAGAUGGUAAACUAUGUAUGAGUAGGGCGAAGCCAGAGGAAACUCUAGUGGAGGCCCGUAGUGAUACUGAUGUACAAAUCGUUCAUCUGACUUGGGUAUAGGGGUGAAAGACUAAUCAAACCAUCUAGUAGCUGGUUUCCUCUAAAGUUUCCCUUAGGAUAGCUAGAGCUCAUGUGCGAGUUUUAUCGGGUAAAGAAAAAGAUUAGAGGCAUCAGGGGCAUAAUGCCCUCGACCUAUUCUCAAACUUUAAAUAGGUAAGGCGACGCAACUGCUCUGUUGAGCCGCGCCAUGGAAUCGUGAGCUCCAAGUGGGCCAUUUUUGGUAAGCAGAACUGGUGAUGUGGGAUAAAUCGAAAGCCGAGUUACGGUGCCAAAUUGCGCGCUAACCCAUAUCCCACAAAGGGUGUUGGUUGAUUAAGAUAGUAGGACGGUGGUCAUGGAAGUCAAAAUCCACUAAGGAGUGUGUAACAACUCACCUGUCGAAUCAACUAGCCCCAAAAAUGGAUGGCACUGAAGCAAGCAAACCUAUACUCGACCGUUAGGGCAAGUGCUAGGCUUCGAUGAGUAGGAGGAUGCAGGGGUUGUUGCGAACCCUUGGGCGUGAGCUUGGGUGGACCGGCCCCUGGUGUAGAUCUUUGUGGUAGUAGCAAAUAUUCAAAUGAGAACUUUGAAGACUGAAGUGGGGAAAGGUUCCAUGUGAACAGGACUUGGACAUGGGUUAGUUGAUCCUACGAGAUGGGGAAGCCCUGUUUCAAGGGCGCACUUUGCGCGAUCAUCGAAAGGGAAUCGGGUUAAUAUUCCUGAACUGGGACAUGGCGGCAGAUGACAACGUUAGGAAAUCCAGAGACGUCAACGGGGGCCUCGGGAAGAGUUAUCUUUUCUUUUUAAUAGCCUGCCCACCUUGAAAUCAGUUCAACUGGAGAUAGGGUCCAGCAGCUGGAAGAGCACCGCAUGUCCUGCGGUGUUUGGUACGCCUUCAAUGGCCCUUGAAAAUCUGGAGGACCGAGUACCAUUCAUGCUGGGUCAUACUCAUAACCGCAUCAGGUCUCCAAGGUGAACAACCUCUGGUCAAUAGAACAAUGUAGGUAAGGGAAGUUGUCAAAAUGGAUCCGUAACUUCGGGAAAAGGAUUGGCUCUAAGGACUAGGCCUAGGGGUCUACACUCCGAACUCGUGGGUUGUUGGCGGCCUGCUCGAGCCACUACCAGGGUGAGAGUGGGUCGUCGCGUGUCGAUCGGGCGACGGACACAGAGCGCUCCCUUCGGGGGGCUUUCCCUAGGUGGCGAACAACUGACUUAGAACUAGUACGGACAAGGGGAAUCUGACUAUUUAAUUAAAACAAAGCAUUGCAAUGGUCCCUGGGGAUGCUGACGCAAUGUGAUUUCUGCCCAAUGCUCUGAAUGUCAAAGUGAAGAAAUUCAACCAAGUGCGGGUAAAUGGCAGGAGUAACUAUGACUCUCUUAAGGUAGCCAAAUGCCUUGUCAUCUAAUUAGUGAAGCACAUGAAUGGAUUAACGAGAUUCCCACUAUCCCUAUCUACUAUCUAGUGAAACCAUAGCCAAGGGAACGGGCUUGGCGGAAUCAACGGGGAAAGAAGACCCUAUUGAGCUUGACUCUAGUCCAACUUUGUGAAAUGACUUGAGAGGUGUAGAAUAAGUGGGAGUCAUUUUGGCACAAGUGAAAUACCACUACUUUUAACGUUAUUUUACUUAUUUUGUGAGACGAAGAUGGGGAAAUGCCCCUAUUUUUGGCCUUAAGGUGCAUCUAGGCACGUUGAUCUAGGCGAAAGACAUUGUCAGGUGGGGAGUUUGGCUGGGGUGGCACAUCUGUUAAAAGAUAAUGAAGGUGUCCUAAGAUGUGCUCAACGAGAAUAGAAAUCUUGUGUGGAACAAAAGGGUAAAAGCUCAUUUGAUUUUGAUUUUCAGUAUGAAUACAAACCGUGAAAGCGUGGCCUAUCAAUCCUUUAGACUUUCAAAAUUUGAAGCUAGACGUGUCAGAAAAGUUACCACAGGGAUAACUGGCUUGUGGCAGCCAAGCGUUCAUAGCAACGUUGCUUUUUGAUCCUUCGAUGUUGGCUCUUCCUAUCAUUGUGAAGCAGAAUUCACCAAGUGUUGGAUUGUUCACCCACCAAUAGGGAAUGUGAGCUGGGUUUAGACCGUCGUGAGACAGGUUAGUUUUACCCUACUGAUGAUCCGUGCCGCGAUAGUAAUUCAACUUAGUAUGAGAGGAACUGUUGAUUCACACAUUUGGUCAUCACGCUUGGUUGAAAAGUCAGUGGUGCGAAGCUACCGUGUGUCGGAUUAUGACUGAAUGCCUCUAAGUCAGAAUCCACGCUAGAUGCGGUCUAUCUCUCUCUCCGGAUGCAUCGCGACCCGCAGUAGGGGUGCUCUUGCACACCUAGGGGCCCGUGUCAUUGGCUACCUUCGAUCGGUGCAACCGCCUGGUCGGAGUAAACCUUGGAUAACAAUUUCAAGCUAUCGGUGAGAAGAAUCUUUUGCAGAUGACUUAAAUAAGCGAUGGGGUAUUGUAAGUGGCAGAGUAGCCUUGCUGCCACAAUCCACUGAGAUUCAACCCUUUGUUGCCUCGAUUCAU